AGAACGAACGCUGGCGGCAUGCCUAAUACAUGCAAGUCGAACGAACACUUCGGUGUUAGUGGCGCACGGGUGCGUAACGCGUGGGAAUCUGCCCUUGGGUUCGGAAUAACAGUUGGAAACGACUGCUAAUACCGGAUGAUAUCGAAAGAUCAAAGAUUUAUCGCCCAGGGAUGAGCCCGCGUAGGAUUAGCUAGUUGGUGAGGUAAAGGCUCACCAAGGCGACGAUCCGUUAGC
rnacentral:rRNA from 1 species